rnacentral:lncRNA from 1 species
CACAGUUGCCUUUUUGCUAUCGCUUUCCUGAUAAAGAAAUACCAAGGAUGCAGGCAACACACGAAUUGUGGUGUGAUGUUAAAGCCUUGCUCAGUGAUUCUUGAAGUGUUAACUAGAUCAGACAGAAAAAAGCUGGGCCUGAGCAUAAGUGCAUGGAAUUAGGGAAAUGUCUUUUACAAAUUGUUACAAAGGCCUUAUUCUAAUAAGCAUGAAAAUUAAAAUAGAUACAAAUUGUAGUAUAGCACAUCAGAUUCAAUUAUGUAUAAAUGGUUUCAUUCAGAAUGUAGGGAAGAGCAUAUGCAAACAUAUUUUUCAGCUCUGUGUGAAGAUAUGAUGAUUGGGAGAGAGGACCAACCCCUGAUGAACUCUUUUAGAGUCUCUCCUCCUAAAAUACCUUCAGUGACUUCAGGAAUCAUCCCAAAAGCCAUGUCCAGUGUGUACCAUCCUGGAGGAUCUAGAAUGCUUAAAUGCUUGCUAAAUAAGUUUCAACCAUAAAAUCAUCCAGCUUCAUAUGAAUAUAGAGGUAAUUUAAGUAGUCACUGUUACACUGAGCGAAUAUAUAAUUUAAUAUAAGUAAGUGCAGGAUUUAAUGAGACAAUAUUAUUCCUUUUUUUUUUUUUGCCAGAGAUUCCAAAAGAUGGAUGUUUAUUUCUGUUUGUCUCAAUUAUUCUCUUUUCCUGUCCUGCAUGGUAUAUAGCUUCUAAGUAAUGACCCUGACUCAUUUAAGGAUAAACAAGUACUACCUUCCUGUCUUGUCAUGUAUGGUAUGCUAUGACCUACCUUCCAAUUAAAUUCAUUUAAAAGCCAUCGUUAAAGCCCAGUUUUAAGUUAACAAGGGUCACUCAUAAAAACUAAAGCUAAACAAGAAGAAAAAAAAAUUGUUGAGUAUCUGAAAAAAAAAACAACCAAGCAUCUCUAAAAGGUACUAAAGACAGAUGGUAACUAAGGAAACUUUCUUCUCUCAAGGAUUUUAAAAUAGACUGCUUGGCAUAAAUCAAUAGGAUUUUUAGUAUUUUAUGAAAUAAUGAAGAAUAUUACUUCCAUGCUGCAAAUGAUUACAAACACAUUUCAUACAUUUGAGUAGUUCCAUUGCAAUCGAGCACUCUUGGAAAACUGACACGCUUGUAUUAUGGUUAAUAAUAUUUGAGCUAUUUUUAUACUGACUACAGUUUCAGAUAUUGUAACUUAUUGUAUUCAUCAGGAAGUCACCUUUCAGAACAUCAGUGGAAAAUGUGGUGGUUUGGAGCAUGAAGAUGCAGUUAGAUACAAUAGCCCACAGAUGGAGACAGUGCUUUCUUUUGACAUUUGUCAUUUUCAAAAAGAAUGACUUCAUACAUCUCCAUGCAUAACUUCCUAGAUGGCGAUUUAAAAUAGGAGAGGGUCUUAAUGUUCAACAGUAGAUGAGGUUUUUUUUCUGUAGAAAUGCAACAUAAAAUCUAUUGUAAUAUUUUUUUUCUUUGGAGCUUUAUUCAAAUGUGUAAGAUGUUCUGAAAAGAUGAAAUAAAAGAUGAACUAUACUGUGCA